GGGGCUCUCAUCACAGGCAGCUGACGCGGCGCAGGGAGCUCGCGGCCACAGAAAGAGGGAGCUGCAGGCAUGGAGCAGAGGUGAUGGCCAGUUACACUCCUGCAGUGCAUCCUACCACGGACUCCGCUGUAGUUGCCAUCUAUCUAUCGCCAUGGUGAGAGAGAGCUCCUGGACCUUGACUCUGUUGCCAUGGUGACCCCGUAGCAAGCAACAGUCGCCAUGGGAACAUCCAGGAUGUUCCGCGUUUUCGUCGUCCUGGGCUCGGCCUUCAUGAUCCUGCUGAUCAUCAUCUACUGGGACGAUGUCGGAGCCUCCCAUCUGUAUUUGCACACCCCCGUCUCGCCGGGCCCCAAAAUCCCGCACCACCCCCCACCCCAGCUGCGGCCUCAAACCUCCCGAACCCCGUCCUUCCUGUCCGACAUCGAUGCCUUCGUUAACCAGUUCCUAGAGCCGGGAACCGGCGAGCCCACAGACCCCGCCCCUGUCGACACAAGCAACCAAUCGGAGAAAGCAGAAGAACGGUAUAUACCGCGGCGGGAGUGGAAGAUUCACCUGACUCCAGUGGCAGCAGAGCUCCGUGAGAGACAGGAGCAGCGUCGGAGGUUGCUUCAGGAGAUGUGCGCUAAUGACAGCGUGGUGUUUCCUGGCAAAAACCGUUCAUUUGAUGACAUUCCCAACAAAGAACUGGAUCACCUUAUUGUGGAUGACAGGCACGGUAUUAUCUACUGCUAUGUUCCCAAGGUAGCGUGCAGUAACUGGAAACGCAUCAUGAUAAUCCUCAGUGAAAGCCUGCUGCGGGACGGCGUUCCCCAGAGAGACCCGCUGGCCAUCCCCCGGGACCUGGUCCACAACAGCAGCAUGCACUUUACCUUCAACAAAUUCUGGAAACGUUACGGAAAGUUUGCAAAGCACCUCAUGAAGGUGAAGCUGAAGAAGUACACCAAGUUUCUUUUUGUGCGGGACCCCUUUGUGCGCCUCAUCUCCGCCUACCGGAAUAAGUUUGAGCUGCCCAACGAGGACUUCUAUCGGCGCUUUGCACAGGUCAUGCUGCGGCGCUAUGCCAACCAGCCCACGCCCCCUGCCUCUGUGGACGAGGCGUUCGGUGUGGGUGUCCAUCCCUCCUUCUUGCACUUCAUCCAGUACCUUCUGGACCCUCAGACGGAGAAGGAGAUGCCCUUUAAUGAGCACUGGCGGCAGGUGUAUCGGCUUUGCCAUCCAUGCCAGAUUCAGUAUGACUUUGUGGGCCACCUGGAGACGGCUGAGGAGGACGCCGAGCACCUACUACGCCAGCUGCGGGUGGACAAUGUGGUGGAGUUCCCCACCUCUAAUAGGAACCUCACCGCCAGCAGCUGGGAGGCCGACUGGUUCAGCACAGUGCCUGUCGAGGCGCGGCGAGAACUCUACAAGCUGUACGAACCUGACUUCAGGCUAUUUGGCUACGACAGACCGGACUCGAUCCUCAACGAGUGACACGUUUCUAUGAGAGAGACGCAGCCACACACACACACAAUGUUUUUUAUGUCAUGAAAGAAUGCUACACUCCAACAACAGUGACACCUCCCUUUGUUCUGAGCUUUGCAGAUGUGUACUCGUCUUAUUCUACACUGAACGUGCACAUUGUUAAGGACACGCGCUGCUGUGAGGAAGCACACUAAUGAGGUGAAGCCAGGUAAUUAGUAUCCAUUAUUGUUUUUCUUUUGAUGCAAAAACAUAGCAAGAAGCACACACAUUGGCAUUAGACAGCUGAGAGACUGAUUUUGAAAACAGCAAGUGUCCCUAAGGUGUUGCACACUGAGUGUAGUCCCUAACUCAAACCUCCACGCCGAGUGCCCCGCACCCCCACUUUGAUGUCACGCCGCGCCUGUCAUUUGCGCUGCCACAGUCGUGUCGUGACGAGCUGUGACGAUCACGCAGGCCUCGUAGCAGGAUGUUUUAAACCUUGCCGCAGCGAUGUCACAGAGCCAUACUCUUUGUUUGUGAUGUCACAGGAAACGCUUUCGGACACGGACGCGGUGGACGGGAAAAGGCGUCGCUAGACUAGUUUUAAGUGUACUUGCACUCGAGUUUUAGUUGUCAUCUAAUUUAUUUCUCAUAAGUGUAAAGUGCAAUUUUAUGUUGAGCAUGAAAGGGACUUUUAUGUUGAGAAUACAUAUUAAUGACGGAUGGCAUCAUCAGAAACAGGUAGAAUUCUGUUAUACCUCAUAAAUACACCGAAUAAGCCACCUUAACAACAAACCCGACAGCUUCUUCAUCCAUUAAAUUAUAUCAAUAGAAACAUUUCAGACAUACGGAAGCCUAGAACAGCCAUGCGUGCAAUGCCGUUAUCUGGAGGUCAUGAGUUAAUUAUUAUGAUAUCUCUGUGUGGUUACUUAUAAUUAGAAUCUCUAUUACUUCUAAUGUUUAUCAGAUCAGGAUUUUCAGUAUCAGCUGUUUAAAUGUGAACAGAUUGAGGAGUAGCCAAUGCAUCAGACUUUUCUUCAAUCAGGGACUGACACAGGCAGGAAUUGCCCGUGUACAGAUCAGACAAACAGGUGCACACAUAAUCACCACAGCUCUCCCAAGACACUGACACAGACGCUCUGUCGAGCUCAGUGUUUUACGUCUCACCAUAUGUUUGCAUGUUUUCAUUCAGCUUCCCAAUACUGACACAUGAUUAAUGAUGAUAAUUUAUACUGUAACACUGUGCCUCUAACCAGUGUUUUCUCAUAAUAGACUGAAAUUGAUAAAUUUAUUUGCUCAAGUUAUAUUAACCCAUUAUAAUGAGAAAACAAGCUUUGUUAUCUGAUAAUCAAAUUCCUCGUGAGCUCAAGAUACAGGCGUUAAAAAAUGAUGAUGAAUGGCCGUUCUCUGCUUCUGUGCAGACUCUUUGGCCAGUUUCAGAGCCUGUUACACGCCGUCGUACAGAAGCACAGCAGCUCCAGUGAGCCGUGCACUGCAUAGCUGGAUUUGUCUCAGCUCGUCUUUGAGGCAGAAAACUGGAGUUACGACAUUCUUUCUUCACCUCAGCUGAACGUGCACAGGUGAGCAUCUGUGUGCUUAAAACGGACAGUUCUCCAAAGGGAACCUAUUCCUUUAUCGCCUGUUGUUUCCUUGAAGGUUUUAUCAUCAUCAGCAUUCGAUCAUGUUUGUGUUUCCACGCACAAACUGCAGUUAUUCACACUGAACUACAUGAGGUUACCCUGGAGACUGCAGCAGUGUUGUUGUUCCCGCCUAAGUAUGAUGAACAUAUUUUUUACUUUUAAGGGCAGCAUUUUCUUGGGAUGCAGUAUUUUGUAGCAAGGAGCUGAGCACAUUAUGUGAAGCCAAGAAGGAGUUGUUCUCAGUAUGUGCAAUGCUGCUGCACUGCUGCAAAGUGACCUGACGCUUCAGCAGCAUUUAUGCUUUGAACAGCUUAAAGGCUUGUUGAAGCUACAGUGCCAAACCUUGUCCUACAUUUUGACCUCAUGCCAGUUCCUGACAUUAAAUCAUGUCGCAGACCAAAAAGCCCAAAUCUAUUUUUGUGAUUCACGUGUUUGUGAAACAGAGUCAUGAGACUCGGCAGUCUGGCAAACUUGUUCCUUCUCUCAUCAUACAUGGAGGAAAAUGCAAAGCAUUCAUUCAGUUUCAUCAGUUUCAUGGUG